GACGAACGCUGGCGGCGUGCUUAACACAUGCAAGUCGAACGGAAAGGCCCUGCUUUUGUGGGGUGCUCGAGUGGCGAACGGGUGAGUAACACGUGAGUAACCUGCCCUUGACUUUGGGAUAACUUCAGGAAACUGGGGCUAAUACCGGAUAGGAGCUCCUGCUGCAUGGUGGGGGUUGGAAAGUUUCGGCGGUUGGGGAUGGACUCGCGGCUUAUCAGCUUGUUGGUGGGGUAGUGGCUUACCAAGGCUUUGACGGGUAGCCGGCCUGAGAGGGUGACCGGCCACAUUGGGACUGGGAUAGGGCCCAGACCCCUACGGGAGGGAGCAGGGGGGAAUAUUGCACCAGGGGCGGAAGCCUGAUGCAGCAACGCCGCGGGCGGGAUGACGGCCUUCGGGUUGUAAACCGCUUUCGCCUGUGACGAAGCGUGAGUGGCGGUAAUGGGUAAAGAAGCACCGGCUAACUACGU
rnacentral:rRNA from 1 species